rnacentral:rRNA from 1 species
UACGGAGGGUGCAAGCGUUAUCCGGAUUCACUGGGUUUAAAGGGUGCGUAGGCGGGCAUUUAAGUCAGUGGUGAAAUACCUGAGCUUAACUUGGGAACUGCCAUUGAUAACUAUUUGUCUUGAAUGUCGUGGAGGUUAGCGGAAUAUGUCAUGUAGCGGUGAAAUGCUUAGAUAUGACAUAGAACAUCGAUUGCGAGGACAGCUCGCUACACUAUUAUUGACACUGAGGCACGAAAGCGUGGGGAUCAAACCAGG